UUCCGGACGGUAGUGAUUGCCGUAUGUCAUCGUCGUCGUCGUCGCCGUCGUUAUUGCCGUCGCCGCCGUCGUCGUUGGCAUAGUCGUAGAGUUCGUGCGAAAACACAGCCAAAGCGUAGCUGGUAAAAACGUUGCACCAACAAAAUGUUUGAGAAAAUGUUUAAUAAAUUAAAUUGACAAUUUAGUAAUAGAAAAUAAAUAGCGAAGCAAAACUCUUGCGGAAUAUUCAAAAUAAAUACCAAAACAUAAUAAUAACAACAAAAACAUUGAUAUUAAAAGUAAAACUGAAAAUUAAAACAAGCUCAAGCGCAACGUCGAGGCUUAACGUGACAGACGACAGGCCACAACAACAACAGCCAGAAAAAGAAAAGCAAGAGGAAGAGCAACAACAACUGCCGCAAAUGCAGCAGCGAUCGUUGGCGUCGUCGCUGCGGCGCGUCAACAAAAAAACAGCAGCAGCAGCACCAUCGCCACCACCAAAACGAAGAAUGAAAAAAUCAUCAUCUACAACAACAACAACAACAGCAGCAACGGGAACGGCAAGAGCUAGAAGAGACGAAGCCGGAGCCGGAGCCAGAGCGGCAGUAGCUUGGCUCAAAAUGCUGCCGCUGUCGACGCCGCCGCCUCUGUUAAUGUCGCUGCUACUGCUCGGCAUUGCUGCAUUUAGUUUGGACAGCUGCUCAUGUUACGCGGGUAAUUGCGCAGCAACAACAACAA